rnacentral:rRNA from 1 species
AUACGGAGGGUGCAAGCGUUGUCCGGAUUUAUUGGGUUUAAAGGGUGUGUAGGCGAUGUAUUAAGUCAGUGGUGAAAGCCUGCGGCUCAACCGUAGAACUGCCAUUGAUACUGACACACUUGAGUUUGGUUGAGGUAGGCGGAAUUUAUGGUGUAGCGGUGAAAUGCAUAGAUACCAUAAAGAACACCGAUAGCGAAGGCAGCUUACUAAGCCGAAACUGACGCUGAGGCACGAAAGCGUGGGGAGCGAACAGGAUUAGAUACCCGAGUAGUCC